UCGCGAACGGGAUUCGAUCCCCUGGUCGUCCAUGCCGUACCCGAUGAGUGCUAAGUGUUGGGGGGUUUCCGCCUCUCAGUGCUGCAGUAACGCAUUAAGCCCUCCGCCUGGGGCGUACGCCCGCAAGGUUGACACUCAAAGGAAUUGACGGGGGCCCGCACAAGCGGUGGCGCAUGUGG
rnacentral:rRNA from 1 species